ACAACUUUCAGCAACGGAUCUCUUGGCUCUCGCAUCGAUGAAGAACGCAGCGAAAUGCGAUAAGUAAUGUGAAUUGCAGAAUUCAGUGAAUCAUCGAAUCUUUGAACGCACCUUGCGCUCCUUGGUAUUCCGAGGAGCAUGCCUGUUUGAGUGUCAGUAAA
rnacentral:rRNA from 1 species